AAAAAAACAGAUCCUAGGUUUUCGUGUACAACUUUGACUGUGUCUUAUAUAAUUUUUUUUAUAAUUCGUAUUUUCAUUAUUGUUAGAUGAUAAAACAUGAUUAAUAUUUUAUGCGUGACUUAUCUUUUUAAUUUUUUUCAUAAUUUUUUUAAAUAAGACGGACGGUCAAACGUUGGACACAGAAACCAGGGUUUGUCUUUUU
rfam:Oryza barthii chromosome 10, whole genome shotgun sequence.